rnacentral:rRNA from 1 species
ACGCUCGACACCUACGGGAGCAGCAGUGGGGAAUAUUGGGCAAUGGGCGAAAGCCUGACCCAGCAACGCCGCGUGAGGGAAGAAGGUUUUCGGAUUGUAAACCUCUGUCCUCAGGGACGAAGGACGUGACGGUACCUGAGGAGGAAGCCCCGGCUAACUACGUGCCAGCAGCCGCGGUAAUCUGAGCGGGCUGGCAAGGC